CUUCGCGUAAGUAGACGCUGCUUCUUUUUGGGUUCGGACCAUUGUUUGGGUUUUAGGUCUUUAGAUAGAUAGAGAGAGAAGGCGAUAGUUAGGAUACGAUACCGUCACGCAUGGCGUCGCCGUCGCCGCUAUCUCCGAACACCGACCCCGACGCCGAAUUCGACGCCAAUCGGAGCUCGAACGCCGAUUCUUCGAACGCAUUGGUCCCUAGCAGUUCCACCAGCCCGCCCGUCGUCUGCCUCCUCCGCUUCGCUGGCGACUCUGCUGCCGGCGCUUUCAUGGGCUCUAUCUUCGGCUACGGUGCUGGGUUGGUUAAGAAAAAAGGUUUUAAAGGAUCAUUUGCAGAGGCUGGAUCUUCUGCAAAGGCGUUUGCAGUCUUGUCUGGUGUGCACAGCUUGGUUGUAUGCUUUUUGAAAAGGCUGAGAGGAAAGGAUGAUGUGUUUAAUGCCGGAAUAGCUGGAUGUUGCACUGGUCUUGCUCUUAGUUUUCCAGGUGCACCACAGGCCCUGUUGCAGAGCUGCCUCACAUUUGGAGCGUUCUCAUUCAUUAUUGAGGGACUUAACAAGCAGCAGCCAGCACUGGCAUAUCCAUAUGCUAGGAAAAGACACGUUAAAAAAGAUUUGCCUACUCUUCCAGCGUUACCUCUGCCUCUCCCUCUCCCUGAUGAGCUGAAGGGAGCAUUUACUUCUUUCUGCGAGUCCUUGAGGAAGAAGGGCAAAAAAUCUGUUGCUCACUGAUAAAUCCAAGGAUGUGUUGGUCACACUCGUCAACGCUCCAGUUGUUUGUUGUGGCACUAUGUACCGUGUAUAUGUCUUACUUGAGAUUUUCAAGGCGGUAUUUGAAUUGAAUUUUGAACUCUGACGAUCUCCUGAAGAAAAUCAAUUGUGCCAUUGUCAUAGUAGAGUUCUUUCAUGUAAUGGUUUUUCACAAUAUCUAGGAUACAAAGGAGAGCCU